AUUGAACGCUGGCGGCAUGCCUUACACAUGCAAGUCGAACGGCAGCACGGGAGCAAUCCUGGUGGCGAGUGGCGAACGGGUGAGUAAAGCAUCGGAACGUGCCCAGUCGUGGGGGAUAACGUAGCGAAAGCUACGCUAAUACCGCAUACGAUCUGUGGAUGAAAGCGGGGGACCGUAAGGCCUCGCGCGAUUGGAGCGGCCGAUGUCAGAUUAGGUAGUUGGUGAGGUAAAGGCUCACCAAGCCGACGAUCUGUAGCUGGUCUGAGAGGACGACCAGCCACACUGGGACUGAGACACGGCCCAGACUCCUACGGGAGGCAGCAGUGGGGAAUUUUGGACAAUGGGCGCAAGCCUGAUCCAGCAAUGCCGCGUGCAGGAUGAAGGCCUUCGGGUUGUAAACUGCUUCUGUACGGAGCGAAACGGCUUCCACUAAUACUGGGGGCUAAUGACGGUACCGUAAGAAUAAGCACCGGCUAACUACGUGCCAGCAGCCGCCGUAAUAC
rnacentral:rRNA from 1 species